rnacentral:tRNA from 1 species
UGUGUAUAAGAGACAGGUGCAUUCUUUAAUCCUAUGCCCGCAAGGGGUAGGAGCUGUCUCUUAUACACAUC